rnacentral:rRNA from 1 species
GUCUUUUUGAUUUUAAUUUAAGGUCAAAUCUGCCCACUGAUUUAUAUUAAAGGGCUGCAGUAUAUUGACUGUACAAAGGUAGCAUAAUAAAUAGUCUUUUAAUUGAAGACUUGUAUGAAAGAUUUGAUGAGAUAUAAACUGUCUCUUUUUUAUAAUUAGAAUUUAAUUUUUUAGUAAAAAAGCUAAAAUUAAUUUAAAAGACGAGAAGACCCUAUAGAGUUUUAUAAUUAAUUUAUUUAUAUAUUUAUAUGUAUAUUUUAAAAUUUAAUUAAUUUGAUUAUUUUGUUGGGGUGAUAGAAAAAUAAAUUUAACUUUUUUUAUAAUAUUACAUUAAUUAAUGAAUAUAAUGAUCCAUAAAUUAUGAUUAAAAGAAAAAAUUACCUUAGGGAUAACAGCGUAAUUUUUUUUUUUAGUUCUUAUAGGAAAAAAAGUUUGCGACCUCGAUGUUGGAUUAAGAUAAAAUUUAAAUGCAGAAGUUUAAAAUUUUUGAUCUGUUCGAUCAUUAAAAUCUUACA